CUUCAUGGAGCAAAAACAUAUUCUAAAUUCAAACGGAACCCCUGCAGUUGGAUAUGUUAUGAGACUCCUGUUUCCCGUGAAUCAAGGACGAAGAUAGUAUGGCCAAUACCAGGUGAAACGUCCAUGCUGCAUCUGCAUGACAACCAUGUGAUCCCAAUCAGUUUCAUGGGAAUGUGCAUUUUGAUCUUCUUGAAUGAUGUAAGUAGCCCUAAUACUGUUCCAUUUAGAGCAGAUGGAGUUAAGAAGCCACCUGUAUUUUGUUUCAAUCAAAGCAUAUUUAGCCUGGUGGGUUUGGCCACAUGAUAAAACAUUGACUUACAAUUCAACACAAUCAUCCUAAAUUGUCAUAAGACAUUACGUGGUGUUUUUAGGUCUAACAGUAACCUAACAUGAUCUUUGCUAUUCGGUUUGUUAUGUAAAAUACUAAUGAAUCAUUAAGUGAUCUUGCGAGACAUAUUCAUAUCCUACCUGUUUGGCCCUGUCCGGGGGUUUCAUCGGAUGGGGCCACAGUGUCUCCUGACCCCUCCCGUCUCAGCCUCCAGUAUUUAUGCUGCAGUAGUUUAUGUGUCGGGGGGCUAGGGUCAGUCUGUCACAUCUGGAGUAUUUCUCUUGUCUUUUCCGGUGUCCUGUGUGAAUUUAAAUAUGCUCUCUCUAAUUCUCUCUUUCUCUUUCUUUCUUUCUCUCUCUCGGAGGACCUGAGCCCUAGGACCAUGCCUCAGGACUACCUGGCUUGAUGACUCCUUGCUGUCCCCAGUUCACCUGGCCGUGCUGCUGCUCCAGUUCCAACUGUUCUGCCUGCAGCUAUGGAACCCUGACCUGUUCACCGGACGUGCUACCUGUCCCAGACCUGUUGUCCCAGAACUGCUGGAACCCUGACCUAUUCACCGGACGUGCUACCUGUCCCAGACCUGCUGUUUUCAACUCUCUAGAGACAGCAGGAGCGGUAGAGAUACUCUCAAAGAUCGGCUAUAAAAAAGCCAACUGACACUUACUCUUGUGUUACUGACUUGUUGCACCCUCGACAACUACUAUGAUUAUUAUUAUUUGACAAUGCUGGUCAUUUAUGAACAUUUGAACAUCUAGGCCAUGUGCUGUUAUAAUCUCCACCCGGCACAGCCAGAAGA
rnacentral:lncRNA from 1 species